rnacentral:lncRNA from 1 species
GUCAUUUAAGUUUAGUGGCAAUAAUAUGUUAUACGUUAUUUUUGUACACAUUUUGCUAGGACCACCAUAUUUUCCCUAAAAUAUACUUGCAUUGUCUCUUUUUUGCUUGCUACUUGUUAUUCCCUUCCUUAUGGCUUGUUAAUUGUUUUAUUUGAACUGUUUGCCACUAAUUGAGUUAACUUUCUAAUUUUUUUACUUU